AAAAGGGUAUUCCCGGGUAGGACGAUGGGGGAUGCGUUCCAUUAGAUAGUAGGCGGGGGUAAACGGCCCACCUAGUCUUCGAUGGAUAGGGGGUUCUGAGAGGAAGGUCCCCCCACAUUGGAACUGAGACACGGUCCAAACUCCUACGGGAGGCAGCAGUGAGGAAUAUUGGUCAAUGGGCGCAGGCCUGAACCAGCCAAGUAGCGUGAAGGAUGACUGCCCUAUGGGUUGUAAACUUCUUUUAUAAAGGAAUAAAGUCGGGUAUGUAUACCCGUUUGCAUGUACUUUAUGAAUAAGGAUCGGCUAACUCCGUG
rnacentral:rRNA from 1 species